UACGUAGGGUGCAAGCGUUAAUCGGAAUUACUGGGCGUAAAGCGUGCGCAGGCGGUGCUGUAAGACCGAUGUGAAAUCCCCGGGCUUAACCUGGGAACUGCAUUGGUGACUGCAGCGCUGGAGUAUGGCAGAGGGGGGUGGAAUUCCACGUGUAGCAGUGAAAUGCGUAGAGAUGUGGAGGAACACCGAUGGCGAAGGCAGCCCCCUGGGCCAAUACUGACGCUCAUGCACGAAAGCGUGGGGAGCAAACAGG
rnacentral:rRNA from 1 species